rnacentral:rRNA from 1 species
CAGCCGCCACGGUAAUACAGAGGGUGCGAGCGUUAAUCGGAUUUACUGGGCGUAAAGCGUGCGUAGGCGGCUUCUUAAGUCGGAUGUGAAAUCCCUGAGCUUAACUUAGGAAUUGCAUUCGAUACUGGGAAGCUAGAGUAUGGGAGAGGAUGGUAGAAUUCCAGGUGUAGCGGUGAAAUGCGUAGAGAUCUGGAGGAAUACCGAUGGCGAAGGCAGCCAUCUGGCCUAGUACUGACGCUGAGGUACGAAAGCAUGGGGAGCAAACAGGAUUAGAUACCCCGGUAGUCCCUGUCUCUUAUAC